rnacentral:rRNA from 1 species
AACGAACGCUGGCGGCAUGCCUAACACAUGCAAGUCGAACGAGACCUUCGGGUCUAGUGGCGCACGGGUGCGUAACGCGUGGGAAUCUGCCCUUGGGUUCGGAAUAACAGUUAGAAAUGACUGCUAAUACCGGAUAAUGUCUUCGGACCAAAGAUUUAUCGCCCAGGGAUGAGCCCGCGUAGGAUUAGCUAGUUGGUGAGGUAAAGGCUCACCAAGGCGACGAUCCUUAGCUGGUCUGAGAGGAUGAUCAGCCACACUGGGACUGAGACACGGCCCAGACUCCUACGGGAGGCAGCAGUGGGGAAUAUUGGACAAUGGCGAAAGCCUGAUCCAGCAAUGCCGCGUGAGUGAUGAAGGCCUUAGGGUUGUAAAGCUCUUUACCCGGAUGAUAAUAGACAGGUACCGGGAGAAUAA